UGUUGCCUGCUGAGAGUCCCAUGUUAACAUGCUGGUUCCGUAGACAUAAGGAAACAAUGACAAACGAAAAUAGAAUUGUCCACAAGAGGACAGAGAAUAGCUCACGCAAGAGGGACAACGUACUCUGUGUUGUUUCGGAGAGGAAAACAAAGAAU